UGUGUCACCUUUCAACUUUUGACGGUCGACCUGAUGUGUCUUUGUUGUUUUACUGUUUAUGAGUAACUAUGUUUAAUUGUAACUUCACUUGAAACUAAGAGCUUAUAUAUUUUUACUUGGAUGACUGACUAUCAUGACAAUUUUGGAACCAAAAAUCAUAUUCAUGGUUUGAUAAUGGCCGAAAAAGGCCGAAACAUGUCACCUAUAUGAUAUAAAUAUAUGGUUCCAAAAGUAUAGAAGUGUUUUCAAGACUU